AACGCAGGACGCAAGCGUUAUCCGGAGUUACUGGGCGUAAAGCGCGGGCAGGCGGUCGGUCAAGUCUGAUGUGAAAUCUCUCCGCUCAACGGGGAGCAGCCAUUGGAAACUGGGCGACUGGAGUCUGACAGAGGUAGGCGGAAUUCCGGGUGGAGUGGUGAAAUGCGUAGAGAUCCGGAGGAACACCAGAGGCGAAGGCGGCCUACUGGGUCAGUACUGACGCUGAGCCGCGAAAGCCAGGGGAGCGAACGGG
rnacentral:rRNA from 1 species